AAAUUUAGAGUUGCCCAAAAUGUUGCAACUCAGAAGCACAAACGGCAAACCUCCCGUCGGCGUCGAAUAUCUCUUCGUUUUGCCCAAUCGCCAUAUCCAGCAGUAGUAAUAUGAACUUUCUGAUCAAUGUAAGUUCAAUUUCACUUGCAUUAUACAUCUUCGUUUUCGGAUUCUGUCCAUAUAUGCGUGUGUUCAACUGUUUAUACGUUCUAGACCUCAAUGAAUUUGUGAUUCUUAUGAGUUAUGUUGAUGAAUUUUAUUUGAAAUGAGAUAAUAAGUAUUAGUUGAGCGACCACACCAGAAAUCGAACUCGCUAAACUAGAAUCGACUAUUCAAAGUUUCAGUCGCGGAUUGCCCUAUGAUAUUAGAGACGCUUUGCUAUUAUUGAUAAUCUGAUGCUAGUUGGUUAGUGUUAUACAUGCAUACUAUCUGUUUGAUGAAAGUUCGGGUGAUAAUGCCAGCUCUAAGAAUCAAUAUGCUUUGUUAACAACUGAAUCCUCUGCAGUACUAUAGUUACUAUCAUGGAACUUAUGUUGUAUGGUGUUCCUUAUGCUUUGCUAUAUCUUGCUUCAAAAAAUGAUUUGCACCUCUUCUUACCUGCACGAUUCCUUUUUGUUUUUCGUAAUUGUUAUUAUAAGGUUUUGUUGCUAAAUGAUAGAAUAAGAAAAUUGGAUCUGAAAAAUGCAUAGUUAUUCAUGUGGAAUUAUGAUGGCGUACAUUAUUAGAAUCUCAUAUUUCAGAAAGAAGUUUAACCAUGUGUGGUCGUGGAGAACAUUUUGCUAAUAGCGGCUGAACCUUUGGUGAAAUUGUGAAUCCAGUGCCUUCGCUCAUAUCAAUGAUCUCACUAUUGGGCUUAUCCCACUCAAAACAUUGAAGAAGUGAGCCUAGUGCCAAUCCAAUGACAUGAAUUGCUAGGUUCUCACCAGGGCAACCCCUCCUUCCUGAUCCAAACGGAAUAAACUUGCAGCCCUCUUUGACACUGUCAAAGCCUAUAAAUCUAUCAGGAUUGAACUUUUCUGGAUCCUCCAAUACCUUAGAGUCAUGAUGUAUCCCCCAUGCAUUCACUAAUAGGAUUGUUCCACGCGGAACUCGAUAUCCUGCAACUUUGCACUCUUCUGAUGAAAGGUGAGGCACAAGUAAAGGGGCUGCUGGAUGCAUCCGCAAUGUCUCAUCGAUGAUGCAUCUGAUGUAAGGAAGUUGAGCCAAAUUGGAUUCAUCCGGUCUUGUCCAACCUGAUUGUCAAUUUCAGUCUGUGCCGUCUUUAAAAUUUCUCGAUUGUCAAGCAAGCGUGAAAAAGCCCAUUCUAGUGUUACUGCUGAAAUAUCUGAUCCAGCUUGGAGUAGGAUCUGCAUGCAUAAGAAAACAGAAUGUAUAAACUAGUUAACAACAUUUAAAGGAACAGUAGAUAUAGACAGAAGCAAAGACACUCUGUAGGGUCAAUGGUUUUGGUAGUUCAAAUAUAGCUUUCAUUUCAAGAUCUAUAUCCAGGGUAGGGUAAGGCAUAUGUAAGUAGAAUUAUAAUAGUCAAUAUCACCUGCCUAUACUAUGUACUCCGUCUGUUGUGAACCAAACUGACCCCAUAAGGGCCUACGGGCUAUUAGAGAGUUUUAUUUGGGAUCCAGACCCAUUUACACUUUGUUAAAAAGGACUAGGAAUUAGAAGAACGGUUAUGGAAAAUUAUUAUGUCAAGCUCUGGCUUUCUAUCCUCUCAUUUCCUUUCUAUGGUCUUGUAUCUCAUCCCUUUCUGGUUACUUCUUUCUCGGUUAAUCUCUCCUUAGUUAGUGUAUUAUUAUUUUGUUGUGCCUAUCCUACAUUGUAACUUGUAUUCAGUGAUUAAUAUAUAUAACUGUGUUUCUGUUGGAAUCGAGUUUGUUUCACCGUCCCGUUCAAUUUAUUUGUACUAGUUUGACUUGACAGAAAGUGAAAGAAAGUAAAGAAGACUUUUGAAUCUUGUGUCUAAACAUGUCAUGUGGUAUGUUGAAAUUUAAGAGCUGUCAAAUUAGGAAAAAGACACUCUUUUUUAAACAAAAAAGAGAAGUAAUACAAACAAAUUGAAACAAAAGGGAGUAUAAAUCAAUCUUGGUACGGAAGCAUUUAGACUCAUCUAAUCAUGUCUUUUUAUCAAGAAACCCCAGCAGAAUACCAAUUUGUAUCAAGUUCCAUCUGAAGCUUAACAUAGUAUUAACUCAAGAUAACACAAGCAAAGAAAACAAUGAAGAUAAUCUUCAUGUACAAAAAGAAAAAAUAUAGAUGUCUGAUAGUCUUACCAGCAGUAGGUUUCUAAUUGUUUCAUCUGUGUAGUAUUCGGGGUCUGUUUUCUGUAAAUCUAACAAGACUUCCAUGAUAGUUUUCUUCUUCCCUGCCACAACCUCUGCUGAAGGAAAAGAACCACUGGUCUUUAAUCGACGAUGCUCGUCUAUUUCCUUUCGCAUAAAGUUAUCUCUCUUCUUCUGUAGUUCCAUCAUCUUUUCCUCAACACUAUGCAAUCCAAACCACCUCAUAAAUGGCAAGAAAUCCAAAAUAUUAGCCUUUGGAGUAGUGUUUAUUGUUUCCUUUGAUAUAUCCUGGAAUAGCAUAGCUUCUUUUGAGUUCUCUCCAUAGUAUCUUUUCCCUGCAAUCAUUCUCGAUAUCACGUUGAACGUGAAGUUAAAAAGAGAUGAUUUCAUCUCCACAAUUUUUUCCAAAUUCUCUAUGGAGACUCUAAAGAGUCUACGAAUCAGGUAGUUUAUUUUAUCAGAACGGAUGCUUGAUAGUGUCUGAAUUCUAUAGGAAGAUAAAACUUCAAGAGUGGAAAUUCUUCGAAGAUUUCUCCAGUGCUCUCCAUAAGAAGACCAAGCGAGGCUAGUAAAAUUGUACCCGAAAUACUUACCACUGAGAAAAUCAGGACGAUUGGCAAAGAUGAUAUCAUUUUUAGUAAAACAGUCUUCUGCUACUAAAGGUGAUGAAACAAGGAGGACAGGCCGAGAGCCAAAUUGAAGAAACACUACUGAACCAUAACGAUUCGAGACUUUGAAUAAAGCCCUAUGGAAAGGUUUACUCAAUAAGUAGAGAUGGCCAAUAAAAGGGAGUGUUGGAAAUGGGCUAGGUGGAAGGUUUUGUAACUUGUUAAGAAAAUGGCGGCUGAUGAUAUAAUGAACAAGGAACAGAACUGGGAAAUACAGAUAAAGAUUGUCCAUGGAUGACCAGAAUUGUAGUAUUAUUUCUGAUAAUUAUCUAGUUUUAUUAGCUUGUAUUAAGAUCUUUGCAGCUUAGACAACAAUAAAUGAGUGUCAUCAAAUCUUGGUUUUGUAAUCUAAAUUGAUCAAUCUUUGUAGGCUAGGUAUUUGUUGAAUCCCUAAUAAUGUAGGUUAGUUGUAGAAAUUUAUUAUUUAUAGAAAAUUUAUCCUUGUAAACAAACAGGAAGGAAUUAAAUACUAACAAGUAAAUAUCCAAUAAACAGGACCUUAUAAUUUAUUUAGGCAAUUGAUGAUUGAUGACAAAUGACAAGAUGCAAUUUUUCUGGAUGUACUCUAAUUAGGUUCAUUUGUCCAGUAUCAAAUAUGCAUUGAUAUAUUCAGCGUAUAUGUAUUCAAUAUCAAUAUCAUCAGUGUAUCCAAUAUCAAUUUUAUCCGGUGUAUCCUUUAUCAGUUUCAUCCAAUUUCAUGUAUCAAGUAUCAAAUAUACAUUGAUGUAUCCGUGCUUAGAUAUGCGUAUCUGGUAUCAAAUAUGCACUUAUACAUUCAUCAAAUAAACCAAUAUCAAAUAUGCACUGAUGUAUUAAGUGUAUCUAUACACAGAUACAUAUCAAUCAUUAUUUCUAGACAUGUAAAUAUUGUCCCCAAGUAAAAUUAAACCAAAAUCAGAACUGAAUAGUUUAUGAAAGUGAUACCCUGUGGUUAAAUAGUUAUAGUAGCAUGUUUGCUUAGUUAGGUAAUUUUUUCCAUUAUUGAUACCCAUAAAACAAUAGAUCCAAAAUGUUGCAACAUCAUCUUAAAACUCUAAUUUUCAAACAACAAUAGCUAAACGGAAGAGAUAUGGAAAAUUGAAUAGGUCGACAAUGAAUCGGAACUCAGAAGCACAAUUUUCUUCCUUUUGCUCAAUCGCCAAAUCCAACAAUAGGAGUAUGAACAAGGCCUUCACAUUCUGAUCAAAGUAAGUUCAAUUUCACUUGCAUUAUACAUCUUCAUUUUCAGAUUCUCUCCAUAUAUGUGUGUUCGAGUGCUUAUACCUUCUUGACCUCAAUGAAUUUAUGAGUCUUAUGAGUUAUGUUGGUGAAGUUCAAUGAAUUUUAUUUGAAAUUCUUGCGGAAACGCCUGGGGUUUACCUUUGCUCAGCUUAAUUUUGGUUUUCGUUAAUUUCACCCUAAGAUAUUGAUUAUACUUUGUAAUUUCUCUGCAUAUUUCUAAGGGGAUGGUAUAGUACUGAAGAAGCUAUAACUCUAAUUAUUAUGUCAUGACUCUAAUUUCUAAGGGGGCAGUAUAGUGCUGAAGAAGUUAUAACUCUAAUUUUGUUAAAUUGUUCGAAUUGUGUAAUCAUCAGUUAUUGACAUUGGGAAGCGACCCAAAGUGAUAUUCAAUUCGUGACUUCAAAUUUGAAUUGCUUUCCUGUUAACCGUGUAAAAGAAGCUUUUGGUAAUUGUGCUCCAAGAUGCACUAUAAAUUGCUAUUUUCCAUUUGGUUACUAUUGUAUUUAGAGAGUUGAUUUCCCACAUAAUCACUCAACUAAUUAUUAUUAUCUCAUAAAGUCACAUCUCUUCUUGAUUAUUCCAAUGUUUUUCAAUAAAGAAAAUGACUUUCUGAGAUAAUAAAAUUUAGUUAUGUGGCCAUAUUAGUUCGAACUCUCUACACUAAUGACUAUUCAACUUUACAGUCACGGAUUGCCUUCUAAUAAUGGGCCUUUGAUAUUAGAGAAGCUUUGCUAUUAUUGAUAAUCUGAUACUAGUUGUGAGUGUUAAACAUGCAUACUAUCUGUUUGAUGGAAGCUAAGGUGA
rnacentral:lncRNA from 1 species